CGGACGGAGGAAUAAAAGAAAGAACAGAUAAGUACAAGAGAGAAGAGAGUGGGAUCGAAGGGGAAGAAGAAAAGAGGAAGAAGGAGAGCACGGCGCCGGACAAGGAAGGAACUGCCACCGUGGCCACGCCUCUGUUUGUCUCUUUCUCCUCAACGCGCCGUCACUAACUCUGCUCCUGGCGUCCCCGUCGCUCCUGCUCGCGUCGUCAUCACUAAAUUUUCUCCUCGGCGUUGCCGUCACUGACAACUCGUCGGCAUCGCAGCCACUUCUCCUCAUCGUCCCUGCUCUCUGCCCUAGCAGGGGAAAACAACUUUUGAAAGUGUGUGAAUUGAAUUGUGUUAUCUUUUAGCAGUGCCGCUGUCGUCGUCUUCUCGUAGCUCUAUCAUCAUUGUGGUUGGCAGCGUCGUCGUCGUAUUCUAAGUUUUCCAAAUCCAGUUUCUUUCAAAGGUACACCUGUAUUCACUUUUAUUGAUUCCUGUAUUAGAUGAUUUGCCUGGUACUGCCCCAAGUUCAAAUGUGUGAAGAGAAUCAAAGUUAAGCCAAAUAAAUAGUUGAAGUUAAGGUUUAGCUAAUUUAGUUAUUGAUCAAGAUUUUAGCUUUAGUACUUAGAGGCAAUUUAAUUAGUUGAAUUCAUAGGUUAUAAAAGAGCUAAAGCCAGAUGAAGUAAUGUUCAGAAAUUUCCUAAGAUAAACUAAUCCCUUCUUAAUUUUAGUUUGAUACUGCUUCAUUACUAAGUUAAGACCCCCAUUUAUAGCAAGGAGAAAAAUUCUUUUAAGAGUCUUCUAGAAGCAUGAAACUCAAUUUGGGAUCUAAAUUCUUAAGAUAAACCAUGGUUAUACUAAUAAUUUCCUAAGAGAUAGAAAUUCGCAUGCCAAAGAAUUUGUAUUGUUACUAUUAUUAUAUUUUUAUUAAGGUUCAAGCGCUUGGUAUCUUGGUAGUUACUUUAAAAUGCUGGUUGUUUUAUUUCUGCUUGAUGUUUUGAUCAGGCAAGUCAGAGUAGAGGUUUUUACUCCCUUUGUUAGAUCAUCUGGAGAAAGCUCCUGAGCUUGAGUUAGUACUUGACUGCUCAGAUUCAACUGUCAAAAUUGAACUCUAGCAUCAUGCUAAUCCAAACUGAUUUUUGAUUGUUCCACUGGCAAGUUGAGGUCGAUGUUGAUAAGUUGGUUGAUCUUGGAGUUAAGGGAAAUAAGUUAGACAUGGUCAUUGCUAGAAGCCCGCAGCUACAAUUGCGGAAGUCCAAAGAUUUUUUUAUAGGUUGUUCUGCAAAAAUUUUCGCUGCCAGCAUUGAUAAAACUCUUCAAAGGAAGAUUGAAUUCCUUUCUGAGGUUGGUGUUUCUGAAGCUUAUCUUCUUGGGGUAAUCAGAAAAUAUUCGGAAUUACUUGUAACCGACACUGAUAAAACUAUAUUGCAUCCGAAAUAUUUUGGUUCACUAAGUAUAUAAUUGUUUAUUUUUUUAUGAUAAGUGUUUAAUUAGUUUUUUUUACUAAUUUGAUUCAAAUAGUUAAGGUUAUUUAUUGGUAUUAAAUUAAAAAAAUAGUUGAAAAGUCAAUAACCU